rnacentral:rRNA from 1 species
UGGGGAAUUUUGGACAAUGGGGGAAACCCUGAUCCAGCCAUCCCGCGUGUGCGAUGAAGGCCUUCGGGUUGUAAAGCACUUUUGGCAGGAAAGAAACGUCGCGGGUUAAUACCCCGCGAAACUGACGGUACCUGCAGAAUAAGCACCGGCUAACUACGUGCCAGCAGCCGCGGUAAUACGUAGGGUGCAAGCGUUAAUCGGAAUUACUGGGCGUAAAGCGUGCGCAGGCGGUUCGGAAAGAAAGAUGUGAAAUCCCAGAGCUUAACUUUGGAACUGCAUUUUUAACUACCGGGCUAGAGUGUGUCAGAGGGAGGUGGAAUUCCGCGUGUAGCAGUGAAAUGCGUAGAUAUGCGGAGGAACACCGAUGGCGAAGGCAGCCUCCUGGGAUAACACUGACGCUCAUGCACGAAAGCGUGGGGGAGCAAACAGGAUUAGAUACCCCUGGUAGUCCACGCCCCUAAACGAUGUCAACUAGCUGUUGGGGGCCUUCGGGCCUUGGUAGCGCAGCUAACGCGUGAAGUUGACCGCCUGGGGAGUACGGUCGCAAG